UCCGCGGCGAGCUCGACGCACUCGCCGGCGCCGCGUAUUUAAAUGAGAGGCGGAGCCUCCGGCGUGGGCCGGCGUGGCCCCACCGAGCCCCUCCCCGGCCGGCUCAGACCCGCGACCCCGGAGCUGGGCGACUGAGGGGCCCGAGCUUCACGUAGCCCACGCCCUGGACCUAGCGGGUCGGAAAGCGGCGCGCCUUACCCGGAGAGGAGCUGGGGCUUUUUGGAAAGCCUGGCUAGGGGCGACACGAGUCUGCUUUCCUUGGUUGUCGUCACAGAAAAAUAUCAAAGGACUUGGGGUUGCCACAACCAAGAUGGCUGGUGGAAUACGUCGCUGGUUCAAUGACUUGGGAAAAAGAAAAACUUUAUGUGUGUACAGGAAUGAAAGUGUGUUGGCAUCUCCGCCAACACUCACCCUUGCUACAGUAACAAAAUGAUCCUGAGGCUGCUGCCAACCAUGAGCAUUGACCAACCCAGGGUGGACCAGUACAGGGGACAGAACCCAGGACCUCUUGCACCACAACUAGUGUUCUAAGUUCUCUCCCAUAGCAUACUCGCAGACUCAUCCACCCCAUUUUAUUUAUUUAAUUUUAUUUUGAGAUAGGGACUUGCUGAGUUGCCCUGGCUGGCCUUGAAUUUGCAAUCCUGCUGCCUCAGCUUCCCCAGUAGCUGGGAUUAUAGGCAUGCACCACCACAUUCAGUUCUAAUUGACUUUUCAAUAUAAGUAUACUACUUCCAGGGCUUGGGUGUAGAUCAGUGGUAUAGUGCUUC